rnacentral:rRNA from 1 species
UACGUAGGGUCCAAGCGUUGUCCGGAUUUAUUGGGCGUAAAGAGCUCGUAGGUGGCUUGUCGCGUCUGCCGUGAAAGCCCGUGGCUUAACUACGGGUCUGCGGUGGAUACGGGCAGGCUAGAGGCUGGUAGGGGCAAGCGGAAUUCCUGGUGUAGCGGUGAAAUGCGCAGAUAUCAGGAGGAACACCGGUGGCGAAGGCGGCUUGCUGGGCCAGUUCUGACGCUGAGAAGCAAAAGCGUGGGGAGCGAACAGG